rnacentral:rRNA from 1 species
AACGAACGCUGGCGGCAUGCCUAAGACAUGCAAGUCGAACGCCCCGCAAGGGGAGUGGCGAACGGGUGAGUAACGCGUGGGAACCUACCCAGCAGUUGGGGAUAACCGCGGGAAACUGCGGCUAAUACCGAAUACGUCCUAGGGGAGAAAGAUUUAUCGCUGUUGGAGGGGCCCGCGUCGGAUUAGCUAGUUGGUGAGGUAACGGCUCACCAAGGCGACGAUCCGUAGCUGGUCUGAGAGGAUGAUCAGCCACACUGGGACUUAGACACGGCCCAGACUCCUACGGGAGGCAGCAGUGGGGAAUAUUGGACAAUGGGGGCAACCCUGAUCCAGCAAUGCCGCGUGAGUGAUGAAGGCCUUAGGGUUGUAAAGCUCUUUUACCGGGGACGAUGAUGACGGUACCCGGAGAAUAAGCCCCGGCUAACUUCGUGCCAGCCGCCGCAGUAA